GUGGCCGGCGCGCUCGGCCUGCCCAGCGUCUACUCCCACAUCGGCGUGGAGCUGGCGCUCGACCACAAGCUCUCGCCGUUCCUCAAGGACGUCUUCGACCUCGCGUGCUACCACAACCUAGAGGCGCACCUCCACCUUCUCGACGGCUACCAGGGCCGCGGCAAGGAGUUCAAGCUCGGGGGCAGGGAUCCCGCGCUCGUCAACAAGGCCGCCGACUUCCUCAUGGACGAGCACAUGGUGCCCG
rnacentral:lncRNA from 1 species